rnacentral:rRNA from 1 species
GACGAACGCUGGCGGCGUGCUUAACACAUGCAAGUCGAACGGAAAGGCCCUGCUUUUGUGGGGUGCUCGAGUGGCGAACGGGUGAGUAACACGUGAGUAACCUGCCCUUGACUUUGGGAUAACUUCAGGAAACUGGGACUAAUACCGGAUAGGAGCUCCUGCUGCAUGGUGGGGGUUGGAAAGUUUCGGCGGUUGGGGAUGGACUCGCGGCUUAUCAGCUUGUUGGUGGGGUAGUGGCUUACCAAGGCUUUGACGGGUAGCCGGCCUGAGAGGGUGACCGGCCACAUUGGGACUGAGAUACGGCCCAGACUCCUACGGGAGGCAGCAGUGGGGAAUAUUGCACAAUGGGCGGAAGCCUGAUGCAGCAACGCCGCGUGCGGGAUGACGGCCUUCGGGUUGUAAACCGCUUUCGCCUGUGACGAAGCGUGAGUGACGGUAAUGGGUAAAGAGGCACCGGCUAACUACGUG